GCCAUGCCUCCGAGCAAGCUACAGAGCUCUGAACCGAUGGAGAGCUGACACCCAGCAGCCCCUGUAAAACAGAGGAAUAUAUUAAACAGUUGUAAACUGGAGGACAAGAAAUGAGUAAGAGCCUCGCUGUGAAGAAAGGCUCCUCAAAGUGUCUUGUGAUUGCAGUGUGGACUGAAUGCAAAGUCUCUUUGAGUGAUGAACCUGUUACCAAUGAGGACUCGAGAGGCCAAGUUAGGACACCGAAAGGGAAGAGAACACUGAAGGAGACAGCAGAUAUGAUGCAGAGUGGGAGAGAACAGAAUGUUUCUUUGGUGUGGAACUUUUCAAGGCAAGUUGAACAGCGGGAAAUUGGGAAUUCAAGAUAG
rnacentral:lncRNA from 1 species